CCCCGGCUUUCUGCAAAUCCACCUUAUGGAAGCCUGAUAAGCACCUCCUCCUCUGAUGCGUCACAGUCACAGGUCCUGGUGAGGAGGGAGCCACACCAAGCACAGCGGCUGGAACAGGGGCAAGUGGGUGCCCACCCCGAAGUGCAGGCAAUGAACUUGUGCAGUAGCCCAUGGUGAGCUGUGGGGCUGUUUGUGACUGCAGCGUAGCCACGCCCAUCCCGCCUGAUGCGGCCUCUUCAUCCAGAGUGGGGGUGACGUGCCAGCCCCCACCUCGCCGGAAUGCUGGGAGGAGCGUCUCCAGGGAAGGAGCUCACUUUGUCAGCUGUAAUGUGCUGUGACUAUCGUAAAGUUCCUUCCGGGUGCAGAGUGAUACGUGAACCCUGGGGACUCACUCCAACUUGGUAUUGAUUUUCUCCACGGAGGACCCAGCAGUCACGGCCCGUGUCUGCACAGCCCCUGGGAUCCUGCGGAGGAAUUCAGCUGGCCCCUCCCCCUGUGCCGAAAACCACGGAGGCAAAGCCAGGCCAGGGUACAGUGAGAACACGGGAGAGGACUGAGAGACCGCCGGCUGCCGAGGGAGGAAGAGCAGGAUUCGCACCCCCGUCAUCGCUGGGCCCACACACCGCCGACAGCUUCCGCGUGUGGCCAUCUGUCUUUCAGAAACCCUCUGGCAGAGGGACCCAGCAGAUGACACGGGGGCCGUUCACACUCUGAAACCUGCCUGGAGUCAAAACACUGCUGGCGAGCCUCCGCCGCAAACCCAACCCAGAUGGUCUUCCCUGGUGGCCCUCGGGGUGGCGGGCACCCUGCCCACUCCCUGCCAGCCCCUGCCCGCUGGACUCCAGGCCCGGCCGAGCCCCCGACCGGUCUCCUGACCCAGCAUGCUGCUCUCCCCUGGGCCCGGCUUCCUCGCCCGCUGGGACUCCCAGGCCCCUCCAGCCCAGCCCCGAGAGCAGGAGCCCCAAGGGAGGCUUGGCGGCUGUGGAGGCGAGUGGGCCACGUGUAGCUGGGAGGCCGGCAGGACCAGGAGCCCCUCACAGCGCAGCACCCACAGCAUCACGAGCCACUUCCACUCCUGGGUGGCCUGGGGGCCCCCACCCCGCUCUGAGCUGCCCCUUGUUGUGACCUGGGGUCCCCCGUGGUGGGCCCGCCCCUUGCGCCUGGGAUCCAGCCUCAGCGAGGCUCCAGAAGUGUCGUCUCCGCCGGCCAGGCGUCAGCGCCUCCACCCAGGAUCACACACUCCUAUCUCUGCACUUCUGCCCUCCAUCCUGCUCCACGCCGCCUCUGCUUGUUAUUCCAGCACAUUCCAGGGUGAUGCCUGCUGAAGCCACGCAGCCAGUGCCUCCACCCUACCCCCCACCUGACCCACCGGCCCCUUCCGCACGCUGGAAGCCUGCCCGGCCUGAAGUGUCCUCACCUGUCGCCCUAUCCUCCCCUCCACUCCAGCCCACCGGUGACUCAGCCCUCACAGCUCUCUCCUCCCCGAGGGAGCUGGUGACUUGGCUCUGAUGGUGCCGGGACCCAGCCCCGGCAUGUUCAGAAUCCUUGUCCUUUAACCUGCGUCCACAUGUAGUCGCCUCCACCUCCCUGCCUGAACCUCCAGGCCCUGCAGAGCAAACGCUGCUGCCUGCAGGAGACCCCUGGGGCCUUCUCCGUCCCCUCAUCCUCCUAAGGAGCCUCCCCUGCCACCGUGCCAGAAUGUGCCGGAGGAAUAGAGGCCCGAGCCUCCCGUGGCCCCAGCGAGGCUUCCUCUGGGGAAGACAGUGAGCCCAACGCCCUGGCUCUCGAGGGGUGGACGGAGUCCAGCUGGCAUCGACCGGGUGCCCCUCUUCACCAGUGUCCACAGUCCUUGAGAGCAAAGGUGGUCCCGGCAGUGCAGCAGAGGGCAAGGGUGGGGCAUGUAGAGUCUCCAGGGAGCCACUGUUGGUUGGAGAGGGAGCCCGAAGUGGGCUCCGGACCCCAGCAGGGACAGCAUCCCCUUCCAGCGGGGGCAGCCGAUUGAUCUGGGCACACGAGCAGGAGGAGCGGCGCCACCCAGGGCUGACCUCACAGCCCUGCUCACGUCUCGGGGCAUUUUGGCAGACCCACCUAGACCUGGGGGACAGCCUGAUUUCCUGCAGCCAUGACCUACAAGGGUGGCAGCUCUCUCAGGCUUGAGUUACCAGGACACAGACCUGGGCCAUUUAAUGUGCGGGCAGCCCCAAGUCCCGGCAGGGCCAAAAGCAGAGAUGGCGGCUGGGGAUGAAAGUGCACGCUGGUCCCAGAUGGGGCUGUGGGUUAAAGCUGCAUGCUGAUCCCUGGGCCCCCUCACUCUGUGAGCUCCUGAAAGGAGGGAAGCCCCCACACCCUACUGAGUGGAAUGCUCCUUGGCCUGGGACCCCGUCCAGUGUCUGCUGCUGUGGGGGCGGGCUCUGGGCAGAGAGAGGCCAGACAGGCACCCAGGAAAGCUGGAACACAUCCCUCCUGCUUCCCCCAGGGUUCCCAGAGGCGACCUCCCUCCUGCACAGGCAUUUGUCAUCCUUAACCUCUAGGACAUCUUUGCCGUGUGCAGUGAACCCCUGGACAGUGUUGCGUGCCACUUUGCCGGAUUUGGGCUGUAUACAGACCGAAGCAUGUGGCAUGAAGCCUUCUGCUGUCAGCGAGUUCCUUGUCCCUCGACAGUAUGUGCCCAGGCUGCCCUUCAAGGUGGCAGUGAUGGCAGUUGUCUCUUGCAUGCUGCGUACAGUUCUGUCACUGACUCUUACACACAGCCCUGGAGACGGCAGAGUGCCGGGAGCAUUCUAUGCAAGUGUCCUGGCCUGUGCGGGCGUCUCCACAGCACAAACACCAGCCAGGGACCACCCCCUCUUCUGCUUCCAUGAUUCCACCAACUGGGUGGGGCAGAGCGGUGCCAGGGCCGGAGGCACGCCCCAGGUGAGGGCAGGUGGCCAUGCCAGUGAGUGCACUGCGUUCUCAGUUAAUUCAUCCUAAAUAUUUCUAAGUUUCUUGAUUAUUGCAGUUGCAUCCCCAAGAUAAUGCCCCCCUCACCAAGUAGAAGGCACAUGUGCUCUGAUGGCCCCUCCCACACUGGGGUCAGGGCACAGCAACGUAGCGAGGCGGCGUGGGGGCUCAGAGGACCUCGGACCAGGCUCGGCACAUGGGGCUUCUCCAGCCAGCCAGGGGGAAGCACCCUGCAGACUGCUAACUUUUGUAAAAUAGAGUUAAAAAGAUCAGCUAGAAAAAUAAAACAAAAAAGGAAAGAU
rnacentral:lncRNA from 1 species